CUGAGUUGCAAAACUCCAAACCCAUGUGAACAUACUACUGUUGCCUCGGCGGCGAAACGCGUGCCCGGUUGGGUAAGCCCCCUUGGGGCCCCCUCCGUGAGUCACCUACCCUGGAGCUACCCUGUAGAUGCCUACCCGGCACCUACCCUGUAGCUACCCUGUAGCAUUGGCGAACCGCCGAAGGACCAACUAAACUCUUGUUUCUAUGUGGCGCAUCUGAGUUACAUUUUAAAUAAGUCA
rnacentral:misc_RNA from 1 species